rnacentral:rRNA from 1 species
CAUAUCAAUAAGCGGAGGAAAAGAAACUAACAAGGAUUCCCCUAGUAGCGGCGAGCGAAGCGGGAAGAGCUCAAAUUUAUAAUCUGGCACCUUCGGUGUCCGAGUUGUAAUCUCUAGAAGUGUUUUCCGCGUUGGACCGCACACAAGUCUGUUGGAAUACAGCGGCAUAGUGGUGAAACCCCCGUAUAUGGUGCGGACGCCCAGCGCUUUGUGAUACACUUUCAAUGAGUCGAGUUGUUUGGGAAUGCAGCUCAAAUUGGGUGGUAAAUUCCAUCUAAAGCUAAAUAUUGGCGAGAGACCGAUAGCGAACAAGUACCGUGAGGGAAAGAUGAAAAGCACUUUGGAAAGAGAGUUAACAGUACGUGAAAUUGUUGGAAGGGAAACGCUUGAAGUCAGACUUGCUUGCCGGAGCUUGCUUCGGUUUGCAGGCCAGCAUCAGUUUUCCGGGGUGGAUAAUGACGGUUUGAAGGUAGCAGUCUCGGCUGUGUUAUAGCUUUCCGUUGGAUACAUCCUGGGGGACUGAGGAACGCAGCGUGCUUUUUGCGAAAGACUCGUCUUGCGCAC